rnacentral:tRNA from 1 species
GAAGGUAUAGCUCAGUGGUAGAGUGCAUGCUUAGCAUGCAUGAGGUCCUGGGUUCAAUCCCCAGUACCUCCU